GAUGAACGCUGGCGGCGUGCCUAAUACAUGCAAGUCGAGCGAACGGACGAGAAGCUUGCUUCUCUGAUGUUAGCGGCGGACGGGUGAGUAACACGUGGAUAACCUACCUAUAAGACUGGGAUAACUUCGGGAAACCGGAGCUAAUACCGGAUAAUAUUUUGAACCGCAUGGUUCAAAAGUGAAAGACGGUCUUGCUGUCACUUAUAGAUGGAUCCGCGCUGCAUUAGCUAGUUGGUAAGGUAACGGCUUACCAAGGCAACGAUGCAUAGCCGACCUGAGAGGGUGAUCGGCCACACUGGAACUGAGACACGGUCCAGACUCCUACGGGAGGCAGCAGUAGGGAAUCUUCAGCAAUGGGCGAAAGCCUGACGGAGCAACGCCGCGUGAGUGAUGAAGGUCUUCGGAUCGUAAAACUCUGUUAUUAGGGAAGAACAUAUGUGUAAGUAACUGUGCACAUCUUGACGGUACCUAAUCAAAAAGCCACGGCUAACUACGUG
rnacentral:rRNA from 1 species